UGCCAGCCGCCGCGGUAAUACGGAAGGUCCUAGCGUUGUUCGGAAUUACUGGGCAUAAAGCGCAUGUAGGCGGAACAGAAAGUUAGAAGUGAAAUCCCUGGGCUCAACCUAGGAAUUGCUCUUAAAACUACUGUUCUGGAAUUCAGGAGAGGAAAAUGGAAUAACCAGUGUAGAGGUGAAAUUCGUAGAUAUUGGAUGGAACACCAGUGGCGAAGGCGAUUUUCUGGACUGAUAUUGACGCUGAGAUGCGAAGGCAUGGGUAGCAAACGGGAUUAGAUA
rnacentral:rRNA from 1 species